rnacentral:lncRNA from 1 species
AAUAUGUCAGCAUGGAUUGUACAGCUAACUGAUGAUAGGAAAUCUUAGUGACUCAAGGAAGCAGACAUCUAAGUAAAAUUGCUGAAGUCCAAAGGCUUAUCUUGAACCUCUGGUCCAUUUCUCUUGAGCCACAGUCCAAUGCACUAGCUCUUAGUUGCUGCUGGAAAUACACUAAUUUUAAGGGAGAUUCAGAAAGAAUCCCAUGAGUAGCUUAACAUCCUACCUGGCAAUGAGCUAGAACCAAAGACCAUCUACAGAGGCCCUCAAACAGGACUUUAUAACUUGCCAGGGUAUGGAUUCCCUGUAUACUGUCCAGCCACACUGGUAUCAUCAAGUUAUGAAGAGGAUAAUUCCAGGAGAAGAGGAUCCAGUCCUGGAGCCUGGGAAGUCCCAAGUCAAGGCACUGGCAUCUGUGAAGCCCUUUUCCUGCAUCCUCCCUUGGCAGAAGGGCAAAGAAUGGACAAAAGAAAGCCAAAAGGGACCAAUUCAUUCUUUUAUAUGGAACUCAUUCCCACAACAAUGAAUGUACUCCAGUGAAAACAGCAUUAAUCCAUUGAUGAGGUCAAUGCCUCAUGACUCAACACCUCCCAUUAUGCUGCAGUGGAACUCAUGAUUCUCCUGCCUCAGUCUCCUGAUUAGCUGGCAUUAAUCCAGGUUUAUCCCCCCAUGCCUGCCAAUAGUGAUUAUUUAAAACAAAGAUUACCAUAUGUUACUUUCCUGAUUAAAAAUAUAUUGAUGCUUAUUUAUUGUAUUAGAGUAAAUCCUAAACUUUUCUCAUAUCAUCCAAAGUCCCUCACGGCCUCCUAUUUCUCCCACUGCACCUUGAUUCCUCAGAGAGCUGAUUCCUCCCCAUUUUUUGAGUCUCUGUUUAACUAUUUGUUUCUUUAAAAUGUAAAGAUCAGGAAGUUGACUUGUUUUAUUACUCUUAUUAUAGUACUUAUAAUCUCAUCACUUAACAUGAUGUGUGGCAUGUAGUAAGUGUUCAACAAACAUUUAUUGAAUGAAUAUCAAAAUUGUGGAAUAGAUUGCACGUAGAAUAAUAGUGAAAACCCCAAAU